rnacentral:rRNA from 1 species
UACGGAGGGUGCAAGCGUUAUCCGGAUUCACUGGGUUUAAAGGGUGCGUAGGUGGGCAGGUAAGUCAGUUGGUGAAAUCUCCGGGCUUAACCCGGAACUGCCGUUGAUACUAUUUGUCUUGAAUAUAGUGAGUGAGCGGAAUAUGUCAGUAGUAGCGGUGAAAUGCUUGAUAAUGACAUAGAAACACCAAUUGCGAAAGGCAGCUUGCUAACACUAUUAUUGACACUGAGGCACUGAAAGCGAUGGGAUCGGAAACAAGAGGUAAUAAC